GCAAACUUGGUCAUUUAGAGGAAGUAAAAGUCGUAACAAGGUAACCGUAGGUGAACCUGCGGUUGGAUCAUUAAAAAAAAAAAAUUGUAAAAGGGAGGUGUUUUUCUGAAACCCUCCCUUUUAUAAAAACCAUGUGAAUAUGUAACCGUCUCACGGUGGGGUUAAAAAUGUAUGGAUUACUUGUUAGUCACUUGUGAGUGGUGAAUAAGGAUUCCAUCCGAGUGUUGAUCGCUCGCCCACCGUGAAUUAUAUACUACUUUAUUGUUCUUUUUUUUGAGUGAAAUUUUCACUGUACAACAAAACAAAAAAACAACUUUUGACAACGGAUCUCUAGGCUCUCGCAUCGAUGAAGAACGCAGC
rnacentral:misc_RNA from 1 species